rnacentral:rRNA from 1 species
UACAGGGGGGGGCAAGCGUUGUUCGGAAUUACUGGGCGUAAAGGGGUUGUAGGCGGCCAACUAAGUCCGACGUGAAAUCCCAAAGCUUAACUUUGGAACUGCGUCGGAUACUGGAUGGCUUGAAUUCGGGAGAGGGAUGCAGAAUUCCAGGUGUAGCGGUGAAAUGCAUAGAGAUGACAUAGAACACCGAUUGCGAAGGCAGCUCACUACGCGAAGAUUGACGCUGAGGCACGAAAGCGUGGGGAUCAAACAGG